rnacentral:rRNA from 1 species
AUUGAACGCUGGCGGCAGGCCUAACACAUGCAAGUCGAACGAGAGGCGGACGGGUGAGUAAUGUCUGGGAAACUGCCUGCUGGAGGGGGAUAACUACCGGAAACGGUAGCUAAUACCGCCUACCAUCGUAUGUGCCCAGAUUGGAUUAGCUUGGAGGUGGGGUAACGGCUCACCAAGGUGACGAUCCCUAGCUGGUCUAAGAGGAUGACCAGCCAAACUGGAACUGAGACACGGUCCAGACGCCUACGAGAGGCAGCAGUGGGGAAUAGUGCAAAAUGGGCACAAGCCUGAUGCAGCCAUGCCGAGUGUAUGAAGAAGGCCUUCGGGUUGUAAAGUACUUUCAGCGGGGAGGCGUUACCCGCAGAAGAAGCACCGGCUAAGUCCGUGCCAGCCGCCGCGGUAAUUC